UACGAAGGGGGCUAGCGUUGUUCGGAUUUACUGGGCGUAAAGCGCACGUAGGCGGAUCGAUCAGUCAGGGGUGAAAUCCCAGAGCUCAACUCUGGAACUGCCUUUGAUACUGUCGAUCUGGAGUAUGGAAGAGGUGAGUGGAAUUCCGAGUGUAGAGGUGAAAUUCGUAGAUAUUCGGAAGAACACCAGUGGCGAAGGCGACUCACUGGCCCGAUACUGACGCUGAGGCGCGAAAGCGUGGGGAGCAAACAGG
rnacentral:rRNA from 1 species